GGACCCUUAGCUCAGCUGGUUAGAGCACCUGACUCAUAAUCAGGGGGUCGCUGGUUCAAGCCCAGCAGGGUCCA
rnacentral:tRNA from 1 species